AGUGAACGCUGGCGGUAGGCCUAACACAUGCAAGUCGAACGGCAGCACAGUAAGAGCUUGCUCUUACGGGUGGCGAGUGGCGGACGGGUGAGGAAUACAUCGGAAUCUACUUUUUCGUGGGGGAUAACGUAGGGAAACUUACGCUAAUACCGCAUACGACCUACGGGUGAAAGCAGGGGAUCUUCGGACCUUGCGCGAUUGAAUGAGCCGAUGUCGGAUUAGCUAGUUGGCGGGGUAAAGGCCCACCAAGGCGACGAUCCGUAGCUGGUCUGAGAGGAUGAUCAGCCAAACUGGAACUGAGAAACGGUCCAGACUCCUACGGGAGGCAGCAGUGGGGAAUAUUGGACAAUGGGCGCAAGCCUGAUCCAGCCAUACCGCGUGGGUGAAGAAGGCCUUCGGGUUGUAAAGCCCUUUUGUUGGGAAAGAAAAGCAGCAGGUUAAUACCCCGCUGUUCUGACGGUACCCAAAGAAUAAGCACCGGCUAACUUCGUG
rnacentral:rRNA from 1 species